AUUGUUGCCAUCACCAUGAUCACCAUCAUUGUCAACCAUUUAUCUAACACCUACCCAGUGUGCGUGCUGAGGCUGGAGAGAAGGAUAAGAGGUGGUCCUGCCCUCGGGGCUUGCAGUCGGCUGGGAUGAUAAGUCCUGCAGAAAUUUAGUGGCCGAGCUGCCACUAGAGCUCAGGUCUCUCUCUGGACUCCCAGACCAGGGCUUAUCCUGUUAUAUUGUGGCCUCUUCUAUUCUAUCGCCACAGUCACACGGGGAGAGGAGUCUGUCGGGAAAACAUGCACCCUCUACAAAGGAGUGAUUCAGAUGACCUGGUCUCAGCUUCCAGCUCCUCUGCUCUCCAGCCGUUCACACACUCCCCAUCACAGGAAGAUUUGUUAAAAGCCAACCAAGAAAGAGAGAGAAUUUGAGAUCCUGCACAAACAAUCCUAGAAGGUGCCAGAAGCUGCCAGAAGCUUCUUCUUUUCCAAGAAGCCACCACUUUGACUGCAGCCACAAAUGACUGCCCACUCCUGCAGGAAGACAGGAGGACCCCAGAGCCCUAUGUGCUCUGCCCCUGUCUACAGACCUGCCUCUCACCGCAUGCCCACAGUCACCACAUGUCAGCCAUGGCAAACUACCUGGGGACCCCCAAGCGACCUGCUUGUGGGGCUCUGCACCCUGGUGCCAGUUCUUCUUUUAGCCUGGGGUCCUCCACCUGCCCUCUGCCUCAAUGGCUCAGUAGAGCCUUCAGAGCUCACAUAUCAGCUCCUCCAAAAAGUGGUGCCGGACCCUGCCUCCCGUCCCUGAAAACCGAGCUUGCACUGUCACAUUUAACAUGUUGUGCCUGACCUAUUCUUCUACACUUCUGUCCUCGUGACGUGGGGUCUGCUGGAGGCCAGUGAAUGUGAAUUUUAUCUUUGUACUUGCAGGGCACAACACGACACUAGGUAUGGAUUAGAUGCUCAGUAACAAUUUUAAACUGGUUUAAAAGUAAUUCCAACAUUGCAGAAGGGUCUAAGGCAAAAAAUGAAUAAAAGUUUCCUGCCA
rnacentral:lncRNA from 1 species